rnacentral:rRNA from 1 species
CCUGGUUGAUCCUGCCAGUAGUCAUAUGCUUGUCUCAAAGAUUAAGCCAUGCAUGUGUAAGCACACACUGUUUUAAAAGUGAAGCCGCGAAUGGCUCAUUACAACAGCCACAGUUUAUUAGAACUUACAAUCAUGGAUAACUGUGGUAAUUCUAGAGCUAAUACACGCACAAAAACUUCAACUGAAUUGGUUGAAGUGCUUUUAUUAGAACAAAAACCGAACGGCGUUUGGCGAAUGUUGAACGUCGAAACUGUUUGGUGAAUCUGAAUAACUAUUUCUGAUCGCACGGUCUAGCACCGGCGACAUCACUUUCAAGUGUCUGCCUUAUCAACCUUCGAUGGUAGUCUAUGCAACUACCAUGGUGAUAACGGGUAACGGAGAAUCAGGGUUCGACUCCGGAGAGGGAGCCUGAGAAACGGCUACCACAUCCAAGGAAGGCAGCAGGCGCGCAAAUUACCCACUCCCAGCUUGGGGAGGUAGUGACGAAAAAUAACGAGACGAUUCUCGUUUGAGAAACGUUAUCGAAAUGAGUACGCUUUACACACGCUAACGAGUAGCAAUUGGAGGGCAAGUCUGGUGCCAGCAGCCGCGGUAAUUCCAGCUCCAAUAGCGUAUAUUAAAGUGGCUGCGGUUAAAACGCUCGUAGUUGAAUUGUGGUCUUAGACAACAGUCCCCCUACAUAGGUGUGGCACGGUUGCUCGAGAUCUUCAUUCGUGGUUGCUGUUGUUGCUCUUCAUUGAGUGUCAAUGAUGCCUCGAGAUUUUACUUUGAAAAAAUUAGAGUGCUCAAAGCAGGUUGUGAUGCCUGAAUAAUGGUGCAUGGAAUAAUAGAAUACGAUCUCGGUUCUAUUUUGUUGGUUUUCGAACCGGAGAUAAUGAUUGAAAGGAACAGACGGGGGCAUUCGUAUUGCUGCGUUAGAGGUGAAAUUCUUGGAUGGCAGCAAGAUGAACAAUUGCGAAAGCAUUUGCCAAGAAUGUUUUCAUUAAUCAAGAACGAAAGUUAGAGGUUCGAAGGCGAUCAGAUACCGCCCUAGUUCUAACGGUAAACUAUGCCAACCAGCGAUUCGCCGAAGUUCAUUUAAGACUCGGCGAGCAGCUUCCGGGAAACCAAAGUGUUUCGGUUCCGGGGGAAGUAUGGUUGCAAAGCUGAAACUUAAAGGAAUUGACGGAAGGGCACCACCAGGAGUGGAGCCUGCGGCUUAAUUUGACUCAACACGGGAAAACUCACCCGGCCCGGACACUGGAAGGAUUGACAGAUUGACAGCUCUUUCUUGAUUCAGUGGGUAGUGGUGCAUGGCCGUUCUUAGUUGGUGGAGCGAUUUGUCUGGUUAAUUCCGAUAACGAACGAGACUCUACCCUAUUAAAUAGUGACAGUAUUGUAUUUUUUGUGCUGAUCACUUCUUAGAGGGACUGGCAAAUUGAAAGCUGCACGAAAAAGAGCAAUAACAGGUCUGUGAUGCCCUUCGAUGUCCGGGGCUGCACGCGCGCUACAAUGAAAGCGUCAACGUGAGUUACGUCCUUACCUGAAAAGGUUUGGCAAUCGAAUGAAACGUUUUCUUGAAUGGAAUAGGGAAUUCCAAUUGUUUCCCUUGAACGAGGAAUUCCCAGUAAGCGUGAGUCAUUAGCUCGCGUUGAUUACGUCCCUGCCCUUUGUACACACCGCCCGUCGCUACUACCGAUUGGAUGAUUUAGUGAGGUGUUUUGACUGGCGCCAGUAGUCGGAUGUAUUCGGCUUCGCGCCGGGAAAUUUCCCAAAGCAAAUCAUCUAGAGGAAGUAAAAGUCGGUAGAAAUGUUAUUAG